rnacentral:rRNA from 1 species
AACGUACGCUGGCGGCACGCCUAACACAUGCAAGUCGAACGAAGUAGCAAUACUUAGUGGCAGACGGGUGAGUAACAUGUAGGUAUCUGCCCUUUGGCCUGGAAUAACACGAGGAAACUUGUGCUAAUACCGGAUAAGUCUUUACGGAGAAAGCUUUAUGCACCAUUGGAUGAGCCUGCACUUGAUUAGUUUGUUGGUGGGGUAAUGGCCUACCAAGACUGUGAUCAAUAGCUGAUUUGAGAGGAUGAUCAGCCACAUUGGGACUGAGACACGGCCCAAACUCCUACGGGAGGCAGCAGUGGGGAAUCUUGCACAAUGGAGGAAACUCUGAUGCAGCGAUGCCGCGUGAGUGAAGAAGGCCCUUGGGUUGUAAAGCUCUUUCGUCGGGGAAGAAAAUGACUGUACCCGAAUAAGAAGGUCCGGCUAACUUCGUGCCAGCAGCCGCGGUAAUACGAAGGGACCUAGCGUAGUUCGGAAUUACUGGGCUUAAAGAGUUCGUAGGUGGUUGAAAAAGUUAGUGGUGAAAUCCCAGAGCUUAACUCUGGAACUGCCAUUAAAACUUUUCAGCUAGAGUAUGAUAGAGGAAAGCAGAAUUUCUAGUGUAGAGGUGAAAUUCGUAGAUAUUAGAAAGAAUACCAAUUGCGAAGGCAGCUUUCUGGAUCAUUACUGACACUGAGGAACGAAAGCAUGGGUAGCGAAGAGGAUUAGAUACCCUCGUAGUCCAUGCCGUAAACGAUGUGUGUUAGACGUUGGAAAUUUAUUUUCAGUGUCGCAGGGAAACCGAUAAACACACCGCCUGGGGAGUACGACCGCAAGGUUAAAACUCAAAUGAAUUGACGGGGACCCGCACAAGUAGUGGAGCAUGUGGUUUAAUUCGAAGAUACGCGCAGAACCUUACCAACACUUGACAUGUUCGUCGCGACUCUAAGAGAUUAGAGUUUUCGGUUCGGCCGGACGAAACACAGGUGCUGCAUGGCUGUCGUCAGCUCGUGUCGUGAGAUGUUGGGUUAAGUCCCGCAACGAGCGCAACCCUCACUUUUAGUUGCCAUCAUUAAGUUGGGCACUCUGAAAGAACUGCAAGUGAUAAGCUGGAGGAAGGUGGGGAUGACGUCAAGUCCUCAUGGCCCUUACGUGUUGGGCUACACACGUGCUACAAUGGUAUCUACAACAGGAAGCAAGGCUGCGAAGUUAAGCAAAUCCCUAAAAGAUACCUCAGUUCGGAUUGCACUCUGCAACUCGAGUGCAUGAAGCUGGAAUUACUAGUAAUCGUGGAUCAGCGUGCCACGGUGAAUGCGUUCCCGGGUCU